rnacentral:rRNA from 1 species
UACGAAGGGGGCUAGCGUUGCUCGGAAUCACUGGGCGUAAAGGGUGCGUAGGCGGGUCUUUAAGUCAGGGGUGAAAUCCUGGAGCUCAACUCCAGAACUGCCUUUGAUACUGAGGAUCUUGAGUUCGGGAGAGGUGAGUGGAACUGCGAGUGUAGAGGUGAAAUUCGUAGAUAUUCGCAAGGACACCAGUGGCGAAGGCGGCUCACUGGCCCGGUACUGACGCUGAGGUGCGAAAGCGUGGGGAGCAAACAGG